ACUAGUUCUCGGCCUGUUUCGGAGUCUCUCGACGAGUGUAUACACUGUCCUCCUAAGCCGAAUAGCGGUAUCUCAAAAAGCAAUGUAUUUUCAGAUAAAGAAUGUGAGGUAUGUGUUUGCAUUAUUUUUUUAUUUGAAAUACCGCGAAUUGUUUGUAACAGCCCCCAUUAUAUAUAAGAAAACUAACAAACAAACGCACAAAUAUUAACAGAAUAGACUUUCCACUACUGGACAACUCUCCCGUGUACAAGAUAGUGACACCCUUUCAAUUAUUUUAUAGUUUUAUCCUAAGCAACUUUAGCAUUUUAUAUUGUAUUUAAUUUUUGACCACUAUAAACUAUGAGCGAGCUAUGGCAGAUAAUUAAAAAAACACAAUAAAUAAUACCAUUUUAGGUACACAAUAAAAUAAGCAAAAUUAAACCUUUAGAAUGGCCAAAGUCACGAGAAAGGAGGCAUACUUGAAAUACUGCAUAGUUUUUUUUCCAACGUAUUUUCAUGGAAACUUACGAACGUGUCUUGCUAUUUCAUUCAGUCUCGGUACAAAAAGUACUGAGGUAGACAGAAUUAGCAUGAUAAAUACGAACGUUUCUAAGAGAAUACGAUGGAAAACAAUUAUGCACUAAAUCUGUAUAUAGUCGCGGAAGCACAUAAAUAUGAAUUUUCAUCGUCUAAUGUCUAAAACGGACGUUUUACAGCGGAAUCAUGGUGUCCCUCUUUAACCUGACACGCUCUCUUUCUCUCGCUAGUAUGCUUUAAUUACUGCUUGAAGCAGUCGAACCGCUGACAGAAGGUUAUGCGCCUUUCUAGUGACGAAAAUAGUUAACAAAAAGUCAAACUAGAUUUUAAUGUUACAUAGGUUUUGGUCAUUAAAUUUCAAAUCGUGAAACUGUUAUGUACAUGAGAGCAAAGGUAUUUUAUGCUAGUUAAGUCUCAAGUAAGCGAAAGAUAAUCACAAGCGUAGCGAGUGAUUCUUAUCUGGAAUCUUAAGCUUAGCGAGAAACUCUAAAGUAUGGAGCAAUAUCUUUGGUCUCGUGUGACAGUUAAUUAUUGUUAACAUUUAUGUGAAGCUUUUUUGUCAAUCUAUACAAAAAAAAAUUGAAUGGCAAUUAUAAAUUUAUGUAAUUUCCCUUUCACCGCCAUACAGUAUGCUAAGUGUCACUUACAGAUAACUUAUAAAUAAGUUACUUUGACACCACCAUGACUAUUAUAAGAGUAUACUAAACGUCUGAAGACGUUUUUAGCGUUGAAAGGGUUAAAAUGAAUGCCUGCUAUAUUACUUUGUGCAAAAGUUUGUAUACUAUUUACAAUACAAUUGACAGUUAUUUAGAUGUAAAUAAUAAUUGUUAUUAUUACAAAUUAAGUAUUAUAGAGGCAAUACAUUAUGCAUGUUAUUUGGAUUAGGACGCGUCGUUGUGAAGAACUUGAAAUGCAUUUCAUCAUACAAAGUGACUUGUAAUUCAAUGAAAUAUUUUGCAUUAGGUAGGUACCUAUAUUAUUUAUAUCUGCUUGUAUUUGCAUUACACAAAUGUAUUAUACGUAUUUAGUUAGGUGCUAUUAAAUUGAACUAAUUCAUAAAUAAUUCAAUUUAGGCUUGCCCGAAAAAAAAAAUCACAAACUUAUCUAGGUAGUUAUAAUUUGGUUUUGCUUAUCUAUUUAUAUAUUUUUUCAAUAAAGUAAAAAAAAAGUUGCAUAGAAUUAGACCAAGAAAAGUCUGCAGCGAUUUUGAUAGCCCACGCAGUGCAAGUUUUAUUUAUAAUAAUUUCAUAGCUGCGUGGGCUAUCGAAAUCGCUGCAGACUUUUCUUGGCCUAACUCUAACAGUUGUGUUAUAAAACUAUCGACAUGUUACCUACGUUAAGAACCAAUAAAUGUUUCGUGUUCAAAGCAUUGAAAUUAUUUUAGGGUCGAUUGCACAAAUCUGUCUGUCACCGUUAAAGCGUUCGCUAAAUUUUAUUGUAUGAGAGGUUUCAUAGUUCACGGCCGACUGCCGUUGAUCGGUCUGUCAAGUGUGGAUUCUGCAACUGGCCCUUAGGCUAGGCACACAGUCAAUUAAAAAUCGGUUACGGUUUAACUACAUUUAAGUGCAAUAAAUGCUUUAAUUUUUUGAGGCAGCGAAGUUGUUACAAAACUAUACGACGUACUUUGUGCCUAAGACGGUUCUUAUUCUAGCCUACUUUCAAAAUGUCAUACUUUUAUAAGUGUGUAAGUUCUAUGCGUCCGUUUUCGCUAAAGCCGGGUCCAGACGGAUGUAACGUGUAAUGUAAGAUUGCGUGUAAUAUAGCGCCGUCGACGUGUGGACGCACGUUAAGAAUCGACAGGCGAUGGAUCCGGCACGAGUGCUGUAGUAUGAAAUGCUCGUAGUACCGUCCACACGCAGUAUUCAUGCAUGUUACAUUACACCAGGCGUGGCUCACUCCGCGAUUUCGUCGCUUUGCUACAGGUAGCUAAAAGUACAUCCGUUCCACACCAAUUUUGGUGGCUAGCCAUAAGUCGCGCGUGGCACUGUCGCCACCUAGCGACCAUAUCUGUGCUGAUCGUAACAGACGCGUUUUGUUAGAGAGUGAGUUUUCUGUACCUAUUACUGUUAUUUAUUCAGUGAUUACACGAUGGAUUACACGUUACAGCUGUCUGGACCCGGCUUAAUAGACAAAACUGCAAGUUGAUAUUAAAAAUAAGAAAAAUUAAAUGAAAUGACGAUGCUAUCUUAGUCGCAAUUAAGUACUUCAGUUCAUUAGAUACUCGUACUUUGGGAAGUCACGAAAUGCAUUUCAUGGUCCAUGUUAAAAAUUGCAAACAACUAAACUAAAUAUAAGAUUUGUUAAUAAAUUUUAUUUUGAACAA